ACCUGCCUAUGAAUUAUUUAAUGGCCGCGGUAUUUUGACCGUGCAAAGGUAGCAUAAUCAUUUGUCUUUUAAUUGAAGGCUGGAAUGAAUGGUUGGACGAGAAAUUAACUUUCUUUUUUAUAUAAAUUAAAAUUUAAUUUUUGAGUCAAAAAGCUCAAAUGUUUUUAUGGGACGAGAAGACCCUAUAGAAUUUUAUUAUUUAUUUUAUUUAUAAAUAUUUUGUUUAUUUUAUUUUUUAUUAAUUAAAUAAUUUUGUUGGGGUGACAUGAAAAUUAAUUUAACUUUUCAUUUUUAAUUCAUAAAUUAAUGUAAUUUUGAUCCAAUAUUUUUGAUUAAAAGUUUAAAUUACUUUAGGGAUAACAAUAAAUUUUUUUUUAAACAUU
rnacentral:rRNA from 1 species